GGACUACAGGGGUAUCUAAUCCUGUUUGCUCCCCACGCUUUCGUGUAUGAGCGUCAGUGUCAUCCCAGGGGGCUGCCUUCGCCAUCGGUGUUCCUCCACAUCUCUACGCAUUUCACUGCUACACGUGGAAUUCCACCCCCCUCUGACGCACUCUAGCUUGCCAGUAACAAGCGCAAUUCCCAGGUUAAGCCCGGGGAUUUCACACCUGUCUUAACAAACCGCCUGCACACGCUUUACGCCCAGUAAUUCCGAUUAACGCUCGCACCCUACGUAUUACCGCGGCUGCUGGCAC
rnacentral:rRNA from 1 species